rnacentral:snRNA from 1 species
AUUUGAACCGCACUGCACUUUUC